GAUUGCGAAGGCAGCUUGCUGGACUGUAACUGACGCUGAGGCACGAAAGCGUGGGGAUCAAACAGGAUUAGAUACCCUGGUANNCCACGCCGUAAACGAUGANUGCUAGCUGUUAGCGAUAUACUGUUAGCGGCACAGAGAAAUCGUUAAGCAUUCCACCUGGGGAGUACGCCGGCAACGGUGAAACUCAAAGGAAUUGACGGGGGCCCGCACAAGCGGAGGAACAUGUGGUUUAAUUCGAUGAUACGCGAGGAACCUUACCUGGGCUUAAAUUGCAGUGGAAUAACGUGGAAUCAUGUUAGCCUUCGGGCCGCUGUGAAGGUGCUGCAUGGUUGUCGUCAGCUCGUGCCGUGAGGUGUCGGCUUAAGUGCCAUAACGAGCGCAACCCUCAUCGAUAGUUACUAACAGGUUAAGCUGAGGACUCUAUCGAGACUGCCGACGUAAGUCGUGAGGAAGGUGGGGAUGACGUCAAAUCAGCACGGCCCUUACGUCCAGGGCUACACACGUGUUACAAUGGGGGGUACAAAGGGCAGCUACCUGGCGACAGGAUGCUAAUCUCAAAAACCUCUCUCAGUUCGGAUUGGAGUCUGCAACCCGACUCCAUGAAGCUGGAUUCGCUAGUAAUCGCGCAUCAGCCACGGCGCGGUGAAUACGUUCCCGGGCCUUGUACACACCGCCCGUCAAGCCAUGGGAGCCGGGGGGACCUGAAGUAUGCAACCGUAAGGAGCGUCCUAGGGUAAAACUGGUGACUGGGGCU
rnacentral:rRNA from 1 species